rnacentral:rRNA from 1 species
UACGUAGGGUGCAAGCGUUAAUCGGAAUUACUGGGCGUAAAGCGUGCGCAGGCGGCUUUGCAAGACAGAUGUGAAAUCCCCGGGCUCAACCUGGGAACUGCAUUUGUGACUGCAUGGCUGGAGUGCGGCAGAGGGGGAUGGAAUUCCGCGUGUAGCAGUGAAAUGCGUAGAUAUGCGGAGGAACACCGGUGGCGAAGGCGGGUCUCUGGGCCGAUACUGACGCUCAUGCACGAAAGCGUGGGGAGCAAACAGG